GGCCAGUUAGCUCAGUUGGUGAGAGUGUGGUGUUAAUAAUGCCAAGGCUGUGGGUUUGAGCCCCAUAUGGGCCA